rnacentral:rRNA from 1 species
UACGUAGGUGGCAAGCGUUGUCCGGAUUUACUGGGUGUAAAGGGAGCGCAGGCGGUAUGGCAAGUCAGAUGUGAAAACCCAGGGCCCAACCCUGGGACUGCAUUUGAAACUGCCAUACUGGAGUGCCGGAGAGGUAAGCGGAAUUCCUAGUGUAGCGGUGAAAUGCGUAGAUAUCAGGAGGAACACCGGCGGCGAAGGCGGCCUGCUGGACCGCGACUGACGUUGAGGCUCGAAAGCGUGGGGAGCGAACAGG